GACGAACCGUGCGAACGUUAUUCGGAAUCACUGGGCUUAAAGCGCGUGUAGGCGGGCCGGCACGUCUUCGCUGAAAUCCCCCGGCUCAACCGGGGAAGGGGCGAGGAUACGACCGGCCUGGAGGGGGUAGGGAAUCGGGAACUUCCGGUGGAGCGGUGAAAUGCGUUGAGAUCGGAAGGAACGCCCGUGGCGAAAGCGCGGUUCUGGACCCCACCUGACGCUGAGACGCGAAAGCCAGGGAGACGG
rnacentral:rRNA from 1 species